UUCACCAGGUGUUAAAUAUUACAGAAUGGUCAUGGGUGACAACUGAACUGGCAAUAACAAGGUUUUUUGGUGAACUUUUAUUUUGUUAACUAACUUUAUUCAAAGUUGACAAUAGGAUCAGUGUGGUUAGUUGGUUUGUUUGUUUAUCAAACAGUCAUUUCUAUGAUCUUUAUAAUCAUUUAACCUGCUAAUUACUAGUAACCUUCUCUUUCUAAAAGGGCAUCUUGGAACCUGUGCCUUUCUCUUUUCUUACAAAGAAAUAAACUGGGGGUGUGUACAUGGUUGAGAGCCUGUAUACAUCUUUUAGGAAUGUGCAAUACAUGUCAUUAUGGUGGUGACUAAAAAGCCCUCCAUCUCUAAUCUCUUCCUUUAUUCUGUUGUUAUAGUGAGGAUCAGGGAUCGAGAUCUUCUCUGGCUCAUGUUCCUUCUUUAGUCUCUAUUUUUGUCUUUCAUUCUCCCGUCACUGCAUUCUCACUGCCAAUGUGAAAGGCAGGUGCAGAGCUGUGGUCCCUCGGAAUACUAAUUCAAAUAUAAAUUACAGCUGCAAGAGGACAGGGCACAGUCAGUACCACAAGCCUGCCAUUCCUGUGGUCCUCACUGAGCCUCAUGGUGUCAGUACUUGUUGAAUUAAAUUUUAAGUUGAAUUAAGCUUUGUUCCCAGGGAUUUUGAAGGCAGAAAACAAGAGCAAUCUUAUGACUUCCUCAAGGAUUAAAUAUGGUAGUAGAGCCAUGAGGGGAUGCUAGUGUGAUGUAAUGAUUAUAGCCUGCACUACACAUCCUUUUCUAGGAGGUUAAGGCUUCUUGUAAUUAUAAAUAAUUACAAUAUUAAUGACGAACAAUGGUGUUGCUCUCUCUGCUCAAGAAGUCGAACCAUGACUUUUUGGGUUUUUCCCAGUCCAUGGUCCAUUACAUUUUAUAAUACUUGAACUCUCACUCCUUGCAUUCUUCAUUUCAUUGAAAUUAAAAGGUAAAGAAUCUUAGUUUGGUCCUGCAGCUGAAAAUGACCCCAAAGUAAUAGUGUGCCACAAAAUAAUUCCUGUGAGACCUAUUAGGAGAAUACAAUGAUUUUUGGCUAAAAGAAGAAGGAAUACAAAGACUUAUGCUGUACAAUAGUUACUGGGACCUGUUCAUUUUUUUUCUGUGAAACAGAAACCUUAUCUAUGGUUUAUAUGGUUGGGUUUUUUUCUUUUGUGUUUUUUUUCCCUUUCCUUUCUUUUUGGGUGUGUGUGUGUUUUGUUUUCGUUUUAUUUUGGUGUAUUUUUUUUAGCCCUUUAUUUUUCUAUGGGAGCAGGUUGAGGCAGGGAUGUUUGUGCUCUCUUUUUUUGGUGGGAGCUGUUUUCAGCAGUAAUUAGUCCUCUACAAAUCCUCUUUUCUUGCUGCUUUGUCUCUGUGGUUGUGUUACACAGUGAAAGCCCUUCUUGACAAAAACAACCUGGGUUGAAAAUUAAGAUGAGAAACAUCCUUGGAGGAGCAUUCUGACUUUUAACCUUACUGGUUUUAUCUCAAGAAGUAUUUUCUUCUAUUUAAUUCCCUUUCUGGGUUGCCCUUUCCUGACAUGUCCUGACCCUGACUUUCCAAACAGACUCUCCCUCCUCCCUAGCCCUUGAACGUGGCCAAUUUUCUGUGCCUCUGGGCUAGAAGCAGGCAAGUAGAGAGAGGGCUCUCUCCAGGUUUCCUCUCAUGAGCCUGGAGACAAACUGCACUGUGCUAAAUGCUGGGGGCUUGUCCUGAUGCUGGUGACCACUGAGCUUGUUUUCACACCCCUCUUUCCUGAGAGAAGUUAGACCCCAGGUCUUCAGAGGUGAAGAGGGGAAAUGCUGCGUUUUGUGUGCGGGUGCUGUUGGCAAAAUGCAGGUUUAUUCUGCUUUCCUGCAAGUGUGUCAGAAGUGCUCUGGCCUGUCCUGCUCUUCAGCCAUGGACAGCUGUAUUUGCCAGGUUAUGGAGUGUAUUUGUUCAGAUUUGGUGCUCUGGGGCCCCAACAGAGCCCAAGUGUUAUAAAUACAUCAGCGUUCUGUAGCUAUCAGGACAGUUAGAAUGCUGUCAGCCUCAUGAAAGAUGUUACAAUAGCUUUCAAAGCAUUUAGAAAAAGAGCCCUUUGAUCCUCUGUGUUCCAGUGAGCUAAAAGAGAUGCUUUUGCAUGGGGGAAGGGGAAAUGCUUUUCUUUUAGCUGCUACAAAUGCCUGUCAGUGGGUGAGGUUGUGAGCUUUGAGUCUGUUAUUGGAGAGCACCAAGGUGAAAGACAGAGAGUGUUAUCCUCAGGUUGGAUUCCUUCUGUUUUAGAUAUAUAUAUUAAAAAAAAAAAAAAGUAACUGAUUUUUAAAAUCUGUUUCUGGAUUGAGGAAGGAAAUAUUUAGUCCCCAGCUGUCAUUUUCCUUUCAACAACAUGAUACAUUGCAAAGCAGCCACGAGGCGGAUCCGUGUAUAAACUGGGUUUGCCAAAAGCUGUCGUGCUUUCAAAGGCACCCUGCUUCUACAGCUUCUGCCAACCUACUUUCUGCUGGGUGUGACUUACAGCCUUGUGCUGAGCAAAGUGGGUGCUGCUGAAGGAAAGGCAUCCCUUUCCUGUGUGUGGCCCAGCCUGUGUAAGUCAGCAGCUGUAGUCUGAGCAGGAUUAAAGACAAGAGCCGAGGAUCUGACAGCUGUAAAGUCAUCCUGGCUUUCUCCGCAGAAUUUUUGAAGUAUUAGUCAUGUGAGUUUUGGUCCCAAAGCCUCUUAAGGGGUUUUUAAACACUGCUUUCUCAAUCCUCAUCUCCAUUUCAUGCAUUUCAGGUUUUUGUUUUUUUCUUCCACGGAGGAAGAUCUGCCAGUCCCCAAAGGGCAGAGGGAUAAGAACAAAUGAGAGGAUUUCCAAAUUCCUUCUGUGCUGGGAAUUUUUCAGACCAGUGUUUGAGCAGAGGGGCAUGCCCACAUAUAGCUCUGCCUUUCAGGCAGCUGAAGGGGAAAGCUUAAAAGUGUUGUGGAAUUUAGUUUUGGUGAUUUCUGCAUUCACUGUGCUAGCACUGCACAGCUCCCUGUCUUCCUAUUGGGAUUGCAAAUGCUGAGCUCAGAGCUACUGGCUCCAGCCAAAAUUGGCAUGCAGAUUAAUGAAAAGCAAAAGAACUUACAGAGAUUUUUAGUUCUCUGAUCUCUUUAAAAAAAAAAAAAAAUUAAACAAAUUUUGAUUAUUAACUGAAUCAUUUACCUUCGGAAGGACAGGGGGUGGUGGUGGUGGUGUUACACUUUUCCCAAAACAGAAGGGCUGAUAAGUUUAUGGUUUCAUUUUAGCCACUGUUGCUUCUCUGACCAAAGUCUUUCCUGGGGUAAUAAAAAAAUGCACUCUGUGAAAGCAUGACUGAUAUAUCUGACACAUUUUAGAUAAGUAGACAAGCAAACUCCUCAAGAUGCCUCAUUUGUCUAGGUCUGAAGUUACCUUUGGUUGUUUUUCUGCAUGGCAAUAUUUGUGUGCUAGACCCAAGGUGCUUCUGUGUUCCCCUGAGCUCUAGCGCACCCUGAACACAGGUGCUUUUGGAUGUCAUGUCAGUAGACUUCCUUAAAACAUUCCUGGUGAAAUUGCUGUCUUGAAGUGACAGUGGCAGUGUGUAAUUAGAGAGAAUCUUUGCCCUGUGUGAGAUUCAGGUGCUGUGGAUUAUCUCUCUGCUUCUGUCACCAGCCUUUUCCUUAAGCAAUCAAUCAGCUUCUCUGGACUCCCCAUCCCUGAAGAGAUGUAAUGGUGAAAGAGAGAACAACUCUGCCUUCAUUUCUUGUUAAACAUGACUACAGCUGCUUAUUCAAAGGCUAUUGAAGAGCAUCUUCCAACCAG